CACCUUCUCCAAGUAGUCUGUUUAGUUGAAUGAUGCAUUAAACAUUCCCUUGGUCAAGAGAUUCCUCAGAACAUUCUGGAAACCAUCUUUGUUGUGUAGCUGCCAUCUUUUCCUCCCUUGUUUUAGAAACUUCCCUUCCUCAACCUAAGAAAAGCCUAUGGAUCAGGCAAUGGCACUUGUUCUCACAGUGCCCAACAUUUUGGAAUGUUGCUCAUCACAUUCAGGGACAAUAGAUUUGAUCCAGAUUUUAUCUUUCCCUUGCAUACCCCAAUACCACCUCCCACAUUGUUCUGAAGGUCCCUCAACCUUCUGGGACAGUGUGGGAGCAGGUACUUGGGGCUAUAGAGAGGUGGCAGGAUCCCACUUGUUCCACCAGUGGGAUCGUCUCUUGGUUGGAACGUCUCUCAGAAGAUGUUCCCCACGGAAGAACGGAAGAAUGGAUCCAAUACAAAAGGUUGUAUGUUUCAGAAAGAUUUGAAUUAUACCAUGUUCUAGAAUCUGUGUGCAAAUCACUUUAGGAGGCAAUCUUAUAUGCCAACAUGGAACCCAUGGGUGCUCAUUUGUCUGCAGAGGACUUCCCUGCUGUCACAAUCCUUCCUCCUUAGUGAAAUUAGUCUUGAAAUGCAGAUUCAAUUGUCCCCAAUACAGCAGGUUGCCGUGUGUGUGUUGUCCACAACAGUUUUCCCAGUUUGCGAAUGUGCCUAUGGGCCCAAAAAGGUUAGUGACCCCAGCUAUGUAUACCUAUGGGAGAGUAAGACUUAUUGAAUGGAGCUUGCUUCUGAGUGGUUAUUCUCAGCAACACACUGUUUGAGUGUUAUUUAGGGUAUGUUUGAGCUCUUUUAAGUCAAUAUAAUAAUGCAAAAGCAGGAUUUAUUUUUGGCACUGGAAUGCUCAUUUUAAUUGUAGAACUCCUUGGAGAUUAUUAUUUAAUUAUUCUGUGUGAUAUAUGGGAUGUUGGAUUUUAAAAUGUUUAAUUAAGAAUUGCAAUGUGCCCAUGCAGGAUUUACAACCGCAACCACAAUAAUGGGUAACAAUAACCAAAGAAUGGGAGAAUGGUAUGCUGUAAUAUUGGGGAAGGAGACACAGUCUUGCCUAGUGACUCGCUAUUCUUCAGCUCUUAAAGUAAGAGGCAUAGUUUCUGCAUCGGGCUCUGGCAAUGCUAGUAAAAUGUGAUAAAUGAAGGUGGAGAAUGCCAAGUUUAAUUCCUCUUGCGAAAACAAAUAACUAGUCAGGAAAUCUAGCCAGAGAGAGAGAGAGAGAGAGUUGGGCUGUGGAAAGUAGAAGACUGAAAAUAUUGUUUUUGGCUCUGGUUAUGUUACGUGUCCUGAAAAAGGAUUAAGAGACACCAAAGAGGAUGUCACAGUGUUUCAAGGGAUGCACACAUGGGGGUGGUAGGGGGAAAUGUUUACAAAAGACUAUCUGCAUAAUUGGACAGUUAACACAAUCUGAUGAAACUGACAUUUGGUCUCCUAAAAUGAAUUGUUCCACAGCUAAUUACCUCUUGGUGGAACCGGGUUUCUUUUCACUGCACCUUCUUACUAAAUGACAAUUCAAGUGAGCAGAUCAGGAUGUUGUACUGUUUUGACAAUGAACAAGAGGUGAGAUAAUUAUGUUGAAUAUUUCAGAUACUUUCUGAAGUGCUGGUGAUCUCUUCCAGCUGAACUUUCCAUUGCACUCCCCACAUACCCUGAAGAAAGAUGAAUGUUACAAUAUGUUAGCAUAACUCAUGCCGGACUAGGGAUGGGAGCGAAAUUUGGUUCAGUUCAAAUUUUAAUGUGACCUUACCAUAUCAAUGCUUUCUGCUACAACUGGUGAACUGAAACACAGUUAUCCUUUGAAAUUCACACUUUGACAGAAAAAAUGAUUCAGUUCUUCACACAAAUAAUGUGUUCAAAAGUGUGUUCAUUGGAGGAAAGUGUGCAUAGAAAUGCAUAUGUAAUUGAAAAAACAUACAUAUAAAAAUGGAUUAUUUUAGGCGAAGUUGCUUGCAAAUGCAACUUUGUCUAAAAUUGUGUGUGUGUGUGUGAGAGAGAGAGAGAGAGAGAGAGAGAAUCUAUUACAAAAUGUGUAUAUUAGGAUAAAUUUGUCCUUAAAUGUUGAAUUUUCAAGAAUUUUUGUUGAUUUUUUUAAAAAACAAACAAUUUUACACAGUAAUGCAGAAAUAUGAACCGAACUUGAAACUGACAAAAUGAGAAACUGAAGUUGACUAAAAACACAGAUGCAGGAACCUUGAAAAAGCUGGCUUUCCCGUCACUUUAAGAAUCUGUUAAGAUGGAGAGAAGACAUGUAAGUGAUAGAAUCUAAACUAUUAUACAAAUCUGCUUAAUGUUUAACUGUAUCCUUUAUAUUGUAUGUGCAUAGAGUGUUUCUGCGGGGGGGGGGGGGGACUGUAUACGGGCAUUGUUUCCUAUAAGUAUUUUCAGAAGCUGAAAGAAAAGCCUUAUACUUAAGUUAAUGCACUUGAAUUCAUUUUUAUUUAUAAUCAAAUUUUUAUCCUUCCUUCCUCGGCAUGGUAGCAAAUAAGAAAAUGCAACUUGGUGACAAUAAGAAGACAAAUUAAAAUAUAAUUCAAAAACAGAUCAUUACAGCAAUGCGGAGCAGACAGAAAUGAUUAAAAACGAUGAAUCCCAACGCGUUCGCAGGAACAAAUCUCUAUUAAAUAUACACAUAAAAGAUGGGAAUUUAGGGGCAAAAGAGCCCCUGGGGAAGUUGUUCCAUAAACUGAGUGCCAUGGAAAAAGGAAUCUCUCAUGCUUAUUCCUAUUAACCAAACUUCCUUCAGUCUAAUACUCAGGGAAAGAUGUGUCUGCAGGGUGUGUGUGUGUGUGUGUGUGUGUGUAACAAAGGUACAGUGUGCCUACUGUACAAAGGUAAAAGUCACAUACACAAGUGCCCACAUUGUGGAAACCUUUUGGGGGAAAGUGUAUUACUGAGAUUUGAUAAGCAGAGACAUCACCUUGCCAACAAAGGUCCAUAUAAAUAUUUUAUUAAGGAUUUUCUUGUUUUACAGAAGUGUAGUGCCUCGUUUUUGUUUUUUUUUAUGUAACAUUUUUACAAAUCCGUUUCAUUUGUUGAGGCAUUAGGGGGAGAAGA